GUGCCAGCAGCCGCGGUAAUACGUAGGGGGCUAGCGUUGUCCGGAUUUAUUGGGCGUAAAGAGCGUGUAGGCGGCCAUGUAGGUCCGGUGUGAAAACUCGAGGCUUAACCUCGAGAUGUCAUCGGAAACCAUUUGGCUAGAGUCCGGAAGAGGAGAGUGGAAUUCCUGGUGUAGCGGUGAAAUGCGCAGAUAUCAGGAAGAACACCAAUGGCGAAAGCAGCUCUCUGGGACGGUACUGACGCUGAGACGCGAAAGCGUGGGGAGCGAACAGGAUUAGAUACCCUGGUAGUCC
rnacentral:rRNA from 1 species